AUGGAAUCUGCAGAUUGGUCCUCGCUCCCGGCGGACCUCGUCCGCCGCAUCGCCGACGGCUUCCUGGCCACCAGCGACCUCGACUACUACAUGGACCUCCGCGCCGUCUGCCAUAGCUGGCGCGCCGCCACCGACGACCCAAAGGGCACCCCGGACCCUCGCUUCCGCCCCCGCCACUGGGUCAGCAUCGACAGCUCCCGCAGCAACACACACCUCCUGGUGAACACUGCAACCGGCCGGUUCCUGCGCAAGGAGCUCCCGGUUCUCCGUGACUACUUUAUUGACAGCACCACCCCGGACGGUCUCCUCGUCUUGAUGGACGAUAAAUCCCCUCACAGCUUCAGUGUCCUCAAUUCUUUCACAGGCUACUCGCUCCGUUUCGCGGCGCCGCAACCCGACGAGUUCGUGGACUCUGCUGCUCUCGUCGCCGGUUCUUCGCCCGCAAUCAUCUUGUUAUUCAGGAAGUACAUUGAUGAUGAUGAUGUCCGGUUACGCGAAUCGCCUCGCAGGGUGUACAUGGUUGAACCUGAUAGUGAAUCUUACGCCGUGUCCGAGGACAGGUAUGCUUGCCCUUUGAUCAGGCUGGCUGUCAGAGGUAUCCACACUAUCGGCGAGUUGGGAUCGGUGGCGCCAUUUCCGCUUGCCGUGGCCAGGAGGAUCUUUAAUCUGAUGAGGUUUUUCAAUGCUGAGCCUGUUGAGUCGGAUGAUGAAGAUACCAUGAUGUCUGAAGAAGAAUCCAUAUCGAAGUUUUGGAUAGGAUAUGACAACCGCUGCUACCUAAUGGAGUCUGCCGGAGAAAUUCUGAUCAUCAUGAAGCUAAAAGAUGGCAUGGAGGUUUACAAGAUGGACACUGAGAGCUAUGUACUCGAGCAUGUGCACAACAUUGGUAACCGUGCCAUCUUCCUCCGUGGUUAUUGCAGGUGCAUGUCUGUUAAUGCUGAUAAAUUCCCAUCCAUUGACGCCAACUGCAUCUAUUACAUAAAGAGCGAUGAUUUUUCUCGUGAUUACAUCUACAUGUACAACCUCAAGUGCCGCAGAGAAGAACGAGUCUCUAAAGACAUAUCUCUUGUUUCUCGCCCUUACACAAUUAUUCAACUCCUCUCCAGCCUUGACCUCUGGUAA
rnacentral:rRNA from 1 species